rnacentral:rRNA from 1 species
UACGGAGGGUGCAAGCGUUAUCCGGAUUCACUGGGUUUAAAGGGCGCGUAGGCGGGCAGGUAAGUCAGUGGUGAAAUCUCCGAGCUUAACUCGGAAACUGCCGUUGAUACUAUUUGUCUUGAAUAUUGUGGAGGUAAGCGGAAUAUGUCAUGUAGCGGUGAAAUGCUUAGAUAUGACAUAGAACACCAAUUGCGAAGGCAGCUUACUACACAACGAUUGACGCUGAGGCACGAAAGCGUGGGGAUCAAACAGG